UCCAUGAAUCCAGCACAACUAGACAACUACGUCUGUAGAAUCAUGACGUGAGGAGCGCAGCAGCUACAUACGGGCAUUCUUUUUUAGAAUUCUUUGUUGGGAAGUUUGACGAUUGUUGUGGUUGGUGCUAUUGACGAGUUUCCAUGGUGAUCAUUUCUUCGGUUAUUGCAUUUCGCCUUUUUUUGACUACCUUUCGGAUUUUUGAUAUUGAUUCUCGGUUUUGACCAUUUUCCGUUUUUGACGCUCGAUUUUUGACUCGGUUUGGACUCCCGGUUUUGACCCUUUUUUCCGUUUUUGACUGCCGGCUUCGGAUUCGUUGUGAACCCGCACACUGAAGAACAUCCUUUCCUGAAAUGGGAUCGGUUGGUGUUUUACCAGUGUGUGUGGAAACACCAAGGGCCGUGUUCGGUGUGCCCCUCAUCAGCCUGAGGAAGAGAGGACAGAUGAGGCAGGGUCUUCCUCUGGUGUUCACACACGUAGUGGAGAUUGUGGAGAAGCACGCGUUCCUUCUGGCCCCA